UGCCAGACUCCUACGGGAGGCAGCAGUGAGGAAUAUUGGUCAAUGGGCUAAGGCCUGAACCAGCCAAGUCGCGUGAGGGAAGACGGUCCUAUGGAUUGUAAACCUCUUUUGUCGGGGAGCAACGAGGCCACGUGUGGCCGAAGUGAGAGUACCCGAAGAAAAAGCAUCGGCUAACUCCGUGCCAGCAGCCGCGGUAAUACGGAGGAUGCGAGCGUUAUCCGGAUUUAUUGGGUUUAAAGGGUGCGCAGGCGGAGGUGCAAGUCAGCGGUCAAAUUGCGGGGCUCAACCCCGUACUGCCGUUGAAACUGCAUCCCUUGAGUGCGCGAGAAGUAUGCGGAAUGCGUGGUGUAGCGGUGAAAUGCAUAGAUAUCACGCAGAACUCCGAUUGCGAAGGCAGCGUACCGGCGCCCAACUGACGCUGAAGCACGAAGGCGUGGGUAUCGAACAGGAUUAGAUACCCGGGUAUU
rnacentral:rRNA from 1 species